GCCCGACUGGCGCAAUUGGAUAGCGCAUACGACUUCUACGAGAAUCCGGAUCCCCGGCAAGGGGAUGACAUCAGGAUGAUUGGGGAAUUGUGAGGCUGUGGGCUCGACUUCCACGUGGGGCU